ACCCAGAUAGCUCAGUUGGUAGCGCAUGGGAAUCUUGAUCUCAGGAACAUGGGUUUGCGCCCCACACUGGGUG